AGCAGCCGCGGUAAUUCCAGCUCCAAUAGCGUAUAUUAAAGUUGUUGCAGUUAAAAAGCUCGUAGUUGAAUUUCGGGGUUAGUAGGUCGGUCAUGCCACUGGUAUGUACUGGUCUCACUGAUUCCUCCUUCCUGAUGAACCGUAAUGCCAUUAAUUUGGUGUUGCGGGGAGACUGGACUGUUACUUUGAAAAAAUUAGAGUGUUUAAAGCAGGCUAACGCUUGAAUACAUUAGCAUGGAAUAAUGAAAUAGGACGUUCGAUCCUAUUUUGUUGGUUUCUAGGAUUAACGUAAUGAUUAAUAGGGAUAGUUGGGGGCAUUAGUAUUCAAUUGUCAGAGGUGAAAUUCUUGGAUUUAUUGAAGACUAACUACUGCGAAAGCAUUUGCCAAGGAUGUUUUCAUUAAUCAAGAACGAAAGUUAGGGGAUCGAAGACGAUCAGAUACCGUCGUAGUCUUAACCAUAAACUAUGCCGACUAGGGAUCGGAUGAUGUUAAUUUUUAAUGACUCAUCCGGCGCCUUAA
rnacentral:rRNA from 1 species